GACGAACCGUGCGAACGUUGUUCGGAUUCACUGGGCUUAAAGGGCGCGUAGGCGGGUCCCCAAGUCGGGGGUGAAAUCCCACGGCCCAACCGUGGAAGAGCUUCCGAUACUGGGAGUCUGGAGGGAGGUAGGGGCGUGUGGAACUUCCGGUGGAGCGGUGAAAUGCGUAGAUAUCGGGAGGAACACCUAUGGCGAAGGCAGCUCGCUGGGACGUUACUGACGCUGAGACGCGAAAGCGUGGGGAGCGAACAGG
rnacentral:rRNA from 1 species